GCUGCGGACAAAGUAGAGACGCAUUCGAAGGAGCCAAAAAGAGGAUGAAUAGUCAGCAAAUCAAACAAUGAACCCAUUAUUACUCAAUCCUGAUUAAUGUCAAGACUGUGAAAAAUGGAAAAACAUUUUUUUGUGAGAUGACAAUAAAUCCUCCAAUUGCUAACACGAAACGAUAAUUGGCAUAAAUUUCGGGUCACCUGUCGAGUGUGAUAGACCCAACGACCAGAGAAAACAAAAAUUGAAGAGCAAAAAGAUCAAAGAGUCCUCCAACAAUUCAGUGUGUUGAUCCAAUAUUACCAGGGUCACACUGGGCACAUUGAGCAGUCGAAUGGCUAGCUCGAUCCACAUAUAGUACAACCCCGCGUUCACAUGAAUGGAGGCCACAAAGAAACGUAAUGCUCGUGAAGCCCAGGCCAUCACAAAUCCAUAACAUCUAUUUCUGGGCUGCAUCGCCUCGCGGAAGUAGCUUCCCUGUCACACGAUUAAUGCAUCAUCCCGUAAUUUUCAAACUGGAAAAUUAUUUAAAGGAGAUACUUCGAGAUUGAAUCACAGAGCAAACUGGACAUGUUUGGAGGUGGGAAAGAGGAUUUAUCGGGUAAUUACAAUGGUUCAUCAUGAAUUAUCUUCACAAUUUCAUUAUCACCCCAUUAAUGAUAAUGUCACCUCGGUGUUAUACGACGAAGCCACGCCCCAUUUGAUCGUCCUGUGUUUAUCAAGAC